rnacentral:rRNA from 1 species
ACGGGACCUCGAAGGGAGGCCGGGGGCGAAAGAGAMUCAGCCGUGCCUGGAAAGGGCCGCCGCUGUUCUCUCGGGUCGCUUCGGCGGCUCGGGAGUUCCGCGCGCGGAUCCCCGGUACACUCGGCGCACUUCCGUCCCCCGGCCGCGUCGCGACCGGUGGGGCGCGGUUUUCGAGGGGCUCGGCUGCCGCCGUUUCGUUAGGGGUUCUCCGCGGUUCUGAACCCGGAGUGAAUCCCGGCGGGAUGUAACGGAGCCGGUCCCGAGAGACCGCCGCGCUCGACCGGAGAGAAAGWGAAGGACGACCGUCGCCGGCGGGUCGGCCCACGCGGGAGGGUACGCUAUUCGCCCUCCCCCGGGUCGCCCGUCGGAGUCGGCGCAUUCGCGGCGAGUAGGUCGGCAUCCCGUCCGACCCGUCUUGAAACACGGACCAAGGAGUUGGACGCGCGCGCGAGUCCAAGGGUCUCGAAACCCGCGGGCGCAUCGAGAGAGAGAGUCGCGAUCCCCCGCGCGCAGAACGCGGGGGCGCAGCGACGCCCCGCCGACCCAGUCCUCGCGCC